UUCAGUUGCAAUUCGACAAGUGGAAACUCCGAAUCCGUGAAGGAAUCAACAAAUCGAUGCACAUAAUGCGCUUUAUAUGGCACUUCAGAGUGACACAUUUCUUUUAAGUGCCACCAUGACAAAAUAAGAAUCUUUUAGAAAGAGAUGAAAUCUUUAGAAAAUCUUAAUAUAUCGAUUUGUGAUACGUGUACCUCACACGAUCAUGACAAGAGGCCUCUCC
rnacentral:lncRNA from 1 species